rnacentral:rRNA from 2 species
CUAUACAUGCAAGUCGAACGAACUCUGGUAUUGAUUGGUGCUUGCAUCAUGAUUUACAUUUGAGUGAGUGGCGAACUGGUGAGUAACACGUGGGAAACCUGCCCAGAAGCGGGGGAUAACACCUGGAAACAGAUGCUAAUACCGCAUAACAACUUGGACCGCAUGGUCCGAGUUGAAAGAUGGCUUCGGCUAUCACUUUUGGAUGGUCCCGCGGCGUAUUAGCUAGAUGGUGRGGUAACGGCUCACCAUGGCAAUGAUACGUAGCCGACCUGAGAGGGUAAUCGGCCACAUUGGGACUGAGACACGGCCCAAACUCCUACGGGAGGCAGCAGUAGGGAAUCUUCCACAAUGGACGAAAGUCUGAUGGAGCAACGCCGCGUGAGUGAAGAAGGGUUUCGGCUCGUAAAACUCUGUUGUUAAAGAAGAACAUAUCUGAGAGUAACUGUUCAGGUAUUGACGGUAUUUAACCAGAAAGCCACGGCUAACUACGUGCCAGCAGCCGCGGUAAUACGUAGGUGGCAAGCGUUGUCCGGAUUUAUUGGGCGUAAAGCGAGCGCAGGCGGUUUUUUAAGUCUGAUGUGAAAGCCUUCGGCUCAACCGAAGAAGUGCAUCGGAAACUGGGAAACUUGAGUGCAGAAGAGGACAGUGGAACUCCAUGUGUAGCGGUGAAAUGCGUAGAUAUAUGGAAGAACACCAGUGGCGAAGGCGGCUGUCUGGUCUGUAACUGACGCUGAGGCUCGAAAGUAUGGGUAGCAAACAGGAUUAGAUACCCUGGUAGUCCAUACCGUAAACGAUGAAUGCUAAGUGGUUGG